GAACGCAUAUUGCACCCUCAGGUCUUUUCCAGAGGGUAUGCCUGUUUGAGUGUCAUGAACACUUCAACUCUCAUGGUUUGCCAUGAUGAGCUUGGACUUUGGAGGUCUUGCCGGCCUGCAGUCGGCUCCUCUCAAAUGGAUCAGCUUGCCAGUGUUUGGUGGCAUCAUGGGUGUGAUAACUAUCUACGCCUGUGGUUUUCCACUGGAUAACCUUCAGUGAUGGAGGUUCGCUGGAGCUCAUAAAUGUCUCUCCUCAGUGAAGACAGCCUUUUGAACGUUUGAUCUCAAAUCAGGUAGGACUACCCGCUGAACUUAAG
rnacentral:misc_RNA from 1 species